rnacentral:rRNA from 1 species
AACGAACGCUGGCGGCAGGCCUAACACAUGCAAGUCGAGCGAAGCCUUCGGGCUUAGCGGCGGACGGGUGAGUAACGCGUGGGAACGUGCCCUUUGGUACGGAAUAGCCCCGGGAAACUGGGAGUAAUACCGUAUGUGGUCGAGAGACGAAAGAUUUAUCGCCAAAGGAUCGGCCCGCGGUGGAUUAGGUAGUUGGUGGGGUAAUGGCCUACCAAGCCGACGAUCCAUAGCUGGUUUUAGAGGAUGAUCAGCCACACUGGGACUGAGACACGGCCCAAACUCCUACGGGAGGCAGCAGUGGGGAAUCUUAGACAAUGGGGGAAACCCUGAUCUAGCCAUGCCGCGUGAUCGAUGAAGGCCUUAGGGUUGUAAAGAUCUUUCAGUGGGGAAGAUAAUGACUGUACCCACAGAAGAAGCCCCGGCUAACUCCGUGCCAGCAGCCGCCGUAAUAC